AUGGAGUCUUGCUCUGUUGCCCAGGCUGGAGUGCAGUGGCACAAUCUCGGCUCACUGCAACAUCCACCUCCCAAGUUCAAGGAUUCUCCUGCCUCAGCUUCCCAAGUACCUGGCACUACAGGCACACAUCACCACACCCAGCACUUUUUAUUUUUUUUCUUUUUUGAGAUGGGAUCUGGCUCCCCUGCCCAGGCUGGAGUGCAGUGGCGCAAUCUCAGCUCACUGCAACCACCACUUCCCGGUGUGUCCGGAAUUGGUGGGUUCUUGGUCUCACUGACUUCAAGUUUGAAGACGUGGACCCUCGUGGAACACGAGAUAUGAUUCAAGUCUUCGCAUUUGAAGUUCUCUUUGCCUGAAACACCCUUCACCAUAGUCCCAUCUGGCAAGGAACUGAAGAUGUCCUCCAGUCAACAGACAGCAAGGAAUUAAGCCUUUUACAUCAACAAUCCUUGAAGAAAUUAAUCCUGCGAACAACACCUAAGUGGGCUUGGAUCUGGAUCCUUCCCCAGUCAAUUCUUCAGAGGAGACUUAAGCACCAGCUGGUAUUUGGGUUGAAGCCUUGUGAGACACCCUGAAGCAAAAAACCCACGUAAGAAACCAACAGAAACUGUGAAAUAGUAGAUGUGUGUUGCUUUGAGCAACAAAGUUUUAGGGUAAUUUGUUAUGGAAAAAUAAAUAUUAUAAUGUGCAUGAAUAAACUUUUGUUAUUCAAACUAACCAUUAUAAUCAUUGGCUAUAUAUAAUGUAGUCUUAAAUGGGAGAGGCCUUUGAAUUGACUUUCUUUGAAUAAUCUUUUGCUGACAUAUGUUUUCCAUGCUGGCAGAAUUAAUAGUUAAUGUAUAGUAAUUCCUUUACUAGUAAUAGUCAUACACAUUUCCAAAUGACAUGUAUUUAUUGGAAUAUUUUGAAUCAAUAAAGUUAAUAUGAAGAAUAUUUGGGUUUUAACUACUUGAUUCCUCUAUUUGAAAAAGUUAUUACAAUUUAAUGAAUCUCAUAUUGUAUAUUUGCAUAGGAUUUUCAAUUCAGAUUUCUUUGUAAAAAAAUAUUGUAAAUGAAGUAACCCUCUGACAAAUAAAUGUGGAUUUUGUCUGAAAGCAGAUCAAAUAAAUGUGUUUGGUUAUAUGGGACCCCUAAGA